CGCGGGAUAGUGUAAUUGGCAACACGGUGGGCUCAUAACCCACAGACGUCUAACGCUUGUCCUGGUUCGAGUCCAGGUCCCGCUA
rnacentral:tRNA from 1 species